rnacentral:rRNA from 1 species
ACAUCCAGAGAACUUAGCAGAGAUGCUUUGGUGCCUUCGGGAACUCUGAGACAGGUGCUGCAUGGCUGUCGUCAGCUCGUGUUGUGAAAUGUUGGGUUAAGUCCCGNAACGAGCGCAACCCUUAUCCUUUGUUGCCAGCGGUUCGGCCGGGAACUCAAAGGAGACUGCCGGUGAUAAACCGGAGGAAGGUGGGGAUGACGUCAAGUCAUCAUGGCCCUUACGGCCAGGGCUACACACGUGCUACAAUGGCGCAUACAAAGAGAAGCGACCUCGCGAGAGCAAGCGGACCUCAUAAAGUGCGUCGUAGUCCGGAUUGGAGUCUGCAACUCGACUCCAUGAAGUCGGAAUCGCUGGUAAUCGUAGAUCAGAAUGCUACGGUGAAUACGUUCCCGGGCCUUGUACACACCGCCCGUCACACCAUGGGAGUGGGUUGCAAAAGAAGUAGGUAGCUUAACCUUCGGGAGGGCGCUUACCACUUUGUGAUUCAUGACUGGGGUGAAGUCGUAACAAGGUAAGCGUAGCGAG